ACUAUAUCUAGCCCAUACUCCUCCUCAUCACUACUACUAUAAGUCAAUCAAAUAAAACAUUUACCAUACAUCUAAAGUAUAGGAGAUAGAAAUUUAAUUAUCAAUGGCGCUAUAGAGAAAGUACCGUAAGGGAAAGAUGAAAGAAUUAUUAAAAGUAGAAAAAAGCAAAGUUUACCCCUUGUACCUUUUGCAUAAUGAUUUAACUAGUAAUAAUUUAGCAAAGAGACCUUAAGUUAAAUUACCCGAAACCAGACGAGCUACUUAUGAGCAGUAACUAGAACAAACUCGUCUAUGUGGCAAAAUAGUGAGAAGACUUGUAAGUAGAGGUGAAAAGCCUAACGAGCCUGGUGAUAGCUGGUUGUCCAAGAAAGGAAUUUCAGUUCAACAUUAAACAAUACUAAAAACCAUAUUAAGUUCCAACGUAUGUUUAACUGUUAGUCUAAAAAGGUACAGCUUUUUAGAAAUGGAUACAACCUUUACUAGAGAGUAACAUAAAACUUAAACCAUAGUUGGCCUAAAAGCAGCCAUCAAUUAAGAAAGCGUUCAAGCUCAACAACAAAAACAAGUUUUAAUUUCAACAAUAAACAAAAAACUCCUAGCCUGACUAUUGGACUAAUCUAUUUAAUUAUAGAAGAAAUACUGUUAAUAUGAGUAACAAGAAAAAUUUUCUCCUUGCACA
rnacentral:rRNA from 1 species